GUGCUGCCAUUUUGAUGAUGUACAUUCUUAUCACUGUCCUGUUUGCUGUGCCUUCCUUCUUGAUAUUGUACUUUGCGUACCCGAGUUUGGAUUGGCUCGUUAGGGAAAUCGUGAACUGAGACUUUCUAGUUAUUGGGAUCUUCAUGUGCACCGAGUUUGGAUUGGGUCGUUAGGGAAAUUGUGUACUGAGACUAGUUAUCGGGAGCUUCAUGCGCAUCUCUUUGC
rnacentral:misc_RNA from 1 species